rnacentral:tRNA from 1 species
GCCCCUGAAGUCCCCAGAAUNNGAGCAGCGGUUUUGUAAACCGCCGGUCAUGGGUUCAAGUCCCUUCACCGGCUCCG